GGACUACUCGGGUAUCUAAUCCUGUUUGCUCCCCACGCUUUCGCGCCUCAGCGUCAGUCUCGGUCCAGAGCGCCGCCUUCGCCACCGGUGUUCUUCCCAAUAUCUACGAAUUUCACCUCUACACUGGGAAUUCCACGCUCCUCUCCCGAUCUCAAGCGCAAGAGUCCCAGGCGCCAUUCCCAGGUUGAGCCCGGGGCUUUCACGCCUGACUUCCUGCGCCGCCUGCGCGCCCUUUACGCCCAGUAAAUCCGAACAACGCUCGCCCCCUUCGUAUUACCGCGGCUGCUGGCAC
rnacentral:rRNA from 1 species